ACACAACCUGAUGAAACCCCAUGGCGGAGGGAAACGGCUGUAGUUGUGAAGCCCGGUCUCUGGCGUCUGUACCUGACCAUGCUGAUGUAUCUGCACUUAUGAAGAAUAAAGCUUAUCUUUUAUUGAAGCCUGGCAGCUGCUAGGGCUACAUUCACUAUGCCAUAGAAGCAGGCACAGCAAACAGACAGCACUGGGACUAACUGGGAAACCCAGUAAGCAGUUUGGAGCAAGAAUCCCCUAUGGCAACAGCCCUGGAGCCACAAAACGUUACUAUGGCUACACCAAAAUAUAUUGCUGCAGUCAAAAAAAACUGUGGACGGUUAUAAAGCAGCGCACCCUCGGGCAUCUUGAAGUUAGAAGGCAUACUUUAUGGAAUGUCUGAAUAAACGAUUCCGCAUCCUAUAAGGAGAAUGUGACUGUCACAAGGCAAGAGGUCAAGAGCAGUUUUCUACAUGAAUUGAGCUUAUGCUACUGGCAAAAUGACAGAAAACUGAUCAAGAUUAUUCUAAUGUCACAUUCCUGCUUGCGCCAAUGGCUUAUAAAGUGUAAACAGAGCUGAUCUCACUGAUGACAGAUACUCAAUAAUGAAUUAGAAUGUUAUCUAGAUCCAAGCAUUGACUUUCUGUAUAUCCGGUUAUGUAAAAUGUUAUGAAGAAUAAACAA